rnacentral:rRNA from 1 species
UACGGGGGGAGCAAGCGUUGUUCGGAUUUACUGGGCGUAAAGGGCGCGUAGGCGGCCACGACAAGUCACUUGUGAAAUCUCCGGGCUUAACUCGGAAAGGUCAAGUGAUCCUGUCGGGCUAGAGUGCAGAAGGGGCAACUGGAAUUCUCGGUGUAGCGGUGAAAUGCGUAGAUAUCGAGAGGAACACCUGCGGCGAAGGCGGGUUGCUGGGCUGACACUGACGCUGAGGCGCGAAAGCCAGGGGAGCGAACGGG